UACGUAGGGGGCGAGCGUUGUCCGGAUUUAUUGGGCGUAAAGAGCUCGUAGGCGGUUUGGCAAGUCGGGUGUGAAAACUCCGGGCUCAACUCGGAGACGCCACUCGAUACUGCUAUGACUCGAGUCCGGUAGGGGAGUGCGGAAUUCCUGGUGUAGCGGUGAAAUGCGCAGAUAUCAGGAGGAACACCGGUGGCGAAGGCGGCAUCCUGGACCGAUAUUGACGCUGAGGAGCGAAAGCCAGGGGAGCAAACGGG
rnacentral:rRNA from 1 species